rnacentral:rRNA from 1 species
AGCAGCCGCGGUAAUUCCAGCUCCAAUAGCGUAUAUUAAAGUUGUUGCAGUUAAAAAGCUCGUAGUUGAAUUUCGGGAUUAGUACGCUGGUCAUGCCUUUGGUAUGUACUGGUGUUACUGAUUCCUACCUUCUGACGAACCGUCAUGUCAUUAAUUUGGUGUGGCGGGGAAUCAGGACUGUUACUUUGAAAAAAUUAGAGUGUUUAAAGCAGGCUCGCGCUUGAAUACAUUAGCAUGGAAUAAUGAAAUAGGACAUUGUAUUCUAUUUUGUUGGUUUCUCGGAUCGAUGUAAUGAUUAAUAGGGAUAGUUGGGGGCAUUAGUAUUCAAUUGUCAGAGGUGAAAUUCUUGGAUUUAUUGAAGACUAACUACUGCGAAAGCAUUUGCCAAGGAUGUUUUCAUUAAUCAAGAACGAAAGUUAGGGGAUCGAAGACGAUCAGAUACCGUCGUAGUCUUAACCAUAAACUAUGCCGACUAGGGAUCGGAUGAUGUUAAUUUUAUAAUGACU